rnacentral:rRNA from 1 species
UGAUGAGCGAAAGCUGUCGAGAGCGAGCAGAGCUAAGAUAGAUUAGAUAGUCCACGUAGUACACGCUGUACACUAGGUGUGUUAGACAUUGCAGAUCGUCCGUGCCGCAGCUAAAGCAUUAAGUUACACACUUGGGGAGUACGGGUAGCAAGGCUAAAAUUCAAAGGAAUUGAAAUUGACCCGCACAAGCACAAGGAGCAUGUGCAUUAAUUUGACGCAACGCGAAGAACCUUACCAAGGCUUGACCUACACCGGAAAACCGCGGUGACAGGAGACCCCUUGUGGUCGGUGUACAGGUGGUGCAUCAGUGUCGUCAGCUCGGGUCGUGAGAUGUUUGGUUAAGUCCCGCAACGAGUCCAACCCUUGUCCCAACUUUCCACCAGGCCCUUCUGGUGUUGGGGACUCACGGGAAACCGCCGGGGUCAACUCGGAGGAAGGGAGGGAGGGGGUCAAGUCAUCAUGCCCCUUACGUUUUGGGCUGCACACCUCCUACAAUGCACGGUACAAUGCGGUGGGAUACCGGCAGGUGGAGCGAAUCUCAAAAACCAAGUCUCUGUUAGGUUUGGGGUC